GCCGUCGGUGCCGUGAGCCGUUCCUUCUGGAGAUGGCAACACAAGUACUGGCAGCCGAAGCGGAUGGGCAUUGCCCCGUUCUUCCAGGUCAUCGUCGGUGGCAUGGUCUUCUUCUACACCAUCAACUACGGCAAGCUGAAGCACCACAGGAACUACAA
rfam:Culex pipiens quinquefasciatus supercont3.85 genomic scaffold, whole genome shotgun sequence.